CUAGUGAUCAGAAGUGAGAAUGUUGACAUGAGUAGCGACAAACAGGGUGAGAGACCCUGUCGCCGAAAGUCCAAGGGUUCCUGCUUAAAGCUAAUCUGAGCAGGGUAAGCCGGCCCCUAAGGCGAGGCCGAAAGGCGUAGUCGAUGGGAACCAGGUUAAUAUUCCUGGGCCAGGAGAUGGUGACGGAUCCCAGAGGUAGUUCAUCCUUAACGGAUUGAAUGGGCUGCUGAGGGGUUCCUGGAAAUAGCCCUCCAUGAGACCGUACCCUAAACCGACACAGGUGGACUGGUAGAGAAUACCAAGGCGCUUGAGAGAACCACAUUUAAGGAACUCGGCAAAAUACCUCCGUAAGUUCGCGAGAAGGAGGCCCCGUUUGUACGCAAGUAUGGGCGGGGGGCACAAACCAGGGGGUGGCGACUGUUUACUAAAAACACAGGGCUCUGCGAAGUCGCAAGACGACGUAUAGGGUCUGACGCCUGCCCGGUGCCGGAAGGUUAAAAGGAGAUGUGCAAGCAUUGAAUUGAAGCCCCGGUAAACGGCGGCCGUAACUAUAACGGUCCUAAGGUAGCGAAAUACCUUGUCGGGUAAGUUCCGACCUGCACGAAUGGCGUAACGACUUCCCCGCUGUCUCAAAUGUGGACUCAGCGAAAUUGAAUUGUCUGUGAAGAUGCAGACUUCCCGCGGUUAGACGGAAAGACCCCAUGCACCUUUACUACAGCUUCGCACUGGCAUCAGGAUUGCGAUGUGCAGGAUAGGCGGUAGGCUUUGAAGCGGGGACGCUAGUCCCCGUGGAGCCAUCCUUGAGAUACCGCCCUUCGCACUCUUGAUGUCUAACCGCGGUCCGUCAUCCGGAUCCGGGACCCUGCGUGGCGGGUAGUUUGACUGGGGCGGUCGCCUCCCAAACAGUAACGGAGGCGCGCGAAGGUUGGCUCAGAGCGGUCGGAAAUCGCUCGUUGAGUGCAAUGGCAGAAGCCAGCCUGACUGCAAGACUGACAAGUCGAGCAGAGUCGAAAGACGGCCAUAGUGAUCCGGUGGUCCCGAGUGGAAGGGCCAUCGCUCAACGGAUAAAAGGUACGCUGGGGAUAACAGGCUGAUGAUGCCCAAGAGUCCAUAUCGACGGCAUCGUUUGGCACCUCGAUGUCGGCUCAUCUCAUCCUGGGGCUGGAGCAGGUCCCAAGGGUACGGCUGUUCGCCGUUUAAAGAGGUACGUGAGCUGGGUUUAGAACGUCGUGAGACAGUUCGGUCCCUAUCAGCCGUGGGUGUAGGAUACUUGAGAGGAGUUGCCCCUAGUACGAGAGGACCGGGGUGAACGUUCCACUGGUGGACCAGUUGUCGUGCCAACGGCAGUGCUGGGUAGCUAUGAACGGACAGGAUAACCGCUGAAGGCAUCUAAGCGGGAAGCCCCCCUCAAAACAAGGUAUCCCUUGAGAGCCGUGGAAGACCACCACGUCGAUAGGCCGGAGAUGUAAGCGCAGCAAUGCGUUCAGUUGACCGGUACUAAUGGCUG
rnacentral:rRNA from 1 species